rnacentral:rRNA from 1 species
UGGAGCAUGUGGUUUAAUUCGAAGCAACGCGCAGAACCUUACCAGCUCUUGACAUGGUCACGGUCGGCCCAGAGAUGGGUUUUCCCCGCAAGGGGCGUGAUGCACAGGUGCUGCAUGGCUGUCGUCAGCUCGUGUCGUGAGAUGUUGGGUUAAGUCCCGCAACGAGCGCAACCCUCGCCUCCAGUUGCCAGCAUUUGGUUGGGCACUCUGGAGGAACUGCCGGUGACAAGCCGGAGGAAGGUGGGGAUGACGUCAAGUCCUCAUGGCCCUUAUGGGCUGGGCUACACACGUGCUACAAUGGCGGUGACAGUGGGAAGCCAGGUCGCGAGGCCGAGCGGAUCCCGAAAAGCCGUCUCAGUUCGGAUUGCACUCUGCAACUCGGGUGCAUGAAGGCGGAAUCGCUAGUAAUCGCGCAUCAGCAUGGCG